rnacentral:rRNA from 1 species
UACGGGGGGAGCAAGCGUUGUUCGGAUUUACUGGGCGUAAAGGGCGCGUAGGCGGUCAGCACAAGUCAGUUGUGAAAUCUCCGGGCUUAACCCGGAACUGCCAAGUGAUACUGUCGCGCUAGAGUGCGGAAGGGGCAAUCGGAAUUCUCGGUGUAGCGGUGAAAUGCGUAGAUAUCGAGAGGAACACCUGAGGUGAAGACGGGUUGCUGGGCCGACACUGACGCUGAGUGCGCGAAAGCCAGGGGAGCAAACGGG